rnacentral:lncRNA from 1 species
UAGUCGUUCUGGGCUGACCAGCUGGAGAACCUGAGGACUUGCCUGCACCGGAUACCUGCAAGUUUCUCUGGUGUUGCAGACAGGAGUCCAUGUGUUUCCCAAAGUCCGGUUCAGCAGACGCACAACACCCUCAGAGUCAACACAACAUGGCGUUCCUGCAAAAAACAGAAAUCAUUAAACAGAGGAAAUGACUCACCCUCCGCACUGAAGCCCAUCCAGGCCAGGUAGGAUUUCCGUGACAGAGGCAACGGCUCUCCAUGGAUGACCUGCCUUUUCUUCCGGCCGAGCUGAAGCAGCUGAACACCAAGAGCCUGCUCUCCAUCAAACCCGGUACCUGACAGCAUACAAGACAAUCAUCCUCAUCCAACAUGUAGACACAGAGCACAAGCAAAGACAGAUUCAUCCAUUCAGAUUCUUCGGUUUAGUGGUUGUUUAAUGGUUUUAAUGGAUUUGCAUAUUUAUUUAAUUUUAGUAAUUUCAUGUGUUAUUACAUUUGUUGCUAAAAAACAAAUAAUUUAUCUACCUACCCCUUUUUGUACAUUGUGUAAUUCAAACUCUGUGGGGACAUAUAUGCAUAUGUUUUUUGAAUGUCCAUUUAUCAGUACAUUUUGGGAUAAGGUAUUUCAAACUACUUCAGAAUUGUGUGAGAUGUUCAUUCCUAAAUACCGUAAUAUCUGUUUAUUGAAUGAUGAUUAUGAUCUAAACCUAAACACUUCUCAACGCAGGAUAUUUCAUACUGCACUAACUGCAGCCAAGAAAGUUAUAUUUAAAAUACGGCAUGAACCCUCAUUCCCAGCGGAUAAA